AUACGUAGGUGGCAAGCGUUGUCCGGAAUUAUUGGGCGUAAAGCGCAUGUAGGCGGCGGUUUAAGUCUGUCGUGAAACUGCGGGGCUCAGCCCCGUAUGGCGAUGGAAACUGGACGGCUUGAGUGCAGGAGAGGAAAGGGGAACUCCCAGUGUAGCGGUGAAAUGCGUAGAUAUUGGGAAGAACACCGGUGGCGAAGGCGCCUUUCUGGACUGUGUCUGACGCUGAGAUGCGAAAGCCAGGGUAGCGAACGGGAUUAGAUACCCCGGUAGUCCUGGCCGUAAACGAUGGGUACUAGGUGUGGGAGGUAUCGACCCCUUCCGUGCCGGAGUUAACGCAAUAAGUACCCCGCCUGGGGAGUACAGCCGCAAGGCUUAAACUCAAAGGAAUUGACGGGG
rnacentral:rRNA from 1 species